UGGAUCUAUCUAAGCGUGAUUGGGAACCUGAGCGUCUGAACCUAUGAUAUGAAAGAUCAUAGCACAAAAAAAUAUGCAUCAGUACAUGGGAAUGUACUAGUAUGAUAGAUGAGGUAAGGCUGAAUGCAAGAGCACAUAUGCAUCAACAAUAAUAGACUAAAUGAUAUAGAGUAACUGAAUAUAAGAGUACACGAAUAAUAUAUAUACAUAUAUAUAUUGUAUCUGAGCAUUUCUGAAGCUAAGUACUGAGUUUGAUAACUAAGUAUCUGAUAUCUGAAGUUACUGAUAAUUGAUGUUUUGAUACUGAUAAACUAUGUCUCACAGUCCUGAUUCUGUAAAAAUAAACUGAGUUCUAAACUGAAUACUAACAUUGAAAUAGUGGGAGGUAAUUAUCUAAUCGACAUGCCCCAAAUCUGAGCUAAUAGGGGUCAAACCUAUGACCCUAGUUGGAAGGGUGCUAAUACCGUGCCACGGGUACUAACACUGGAAAACUAGGAUACUAAGCCUAGCUGGCUAGUCUGACGGGUGACUCCUCAUCCUGCGCUGGCUACGCAAUUCUAGAGUACAAGGACUGCUACUAUUGAAUCUGCCUCUCUGACGGGAAAUCCGUCAUCCCUGCACUUGCUUGGUGCUAAAUUCUACUCCCAACUGAAAGACACUGAACAGAGUAUACUAAACUUCACUGGACUGAUACAAAAUUUACUAAGUUUUCUUGAGUUCUGUAACUGACUGAAUUUACUGAGUUCUAUUGAUCGUGGCAUGACUGAUAUUAUUCUAUAACUGACACUGGCUCUAGGUAAACAACUGAAUUAUCGGGUAUUAAAUACCCCCAGGACUCGAUAGCAUAAAAAAAAUAAAGCAUAGUAUAAUCUUGAAUACAUAAUAAUGGCUACUUGACCACAAUCCACGUAUUGAGAUAUUUCAGCAAAAACUUGUAAUGCAUUUACUUGUACAUGAAUGGGAAAUAUAUGCUAUCAUGGUUUAAUGUAACUAUUUCAUUCACAUAGGCAUUUUAUCAAACACUUGUAUGGCAUAGGCUCAUACGUAUACUAGCAUGUCAUGAUUUUAUCAUUUAAUUCGCAUGAACAUUCUAUCAAACACUUGGGAGCACAACUUAAUGCACAUAAUCAUGGAUAACACAUAAUCAUGGAAACUACGAAGUCCCAAACUUGCAAUUUCAUGGGUUUCACAUGCAACUCAUAAAAUUCCCCCUAUUUUCAUGAAUGUUAUCAUAAUCAUGGAUUGAAAACCAAAUUAACAUCAUAGAUACAUUAAUCACUUUGUAAAUUCAAAGGUUUAUCAGGAUAAUCACAAAUCCAUCACACAUGCUAUCCAAUUUCAUGAAACUUGCACUUAAACCAUGAAUUUGGAACCCAACUAAUAUCAUGAACAUGACUUCAAUCUAAUUCAAACAUGGAAAUCAUAAAUCAUAAAUCUUGAAAAUUUAAAAACGGAUUCUUAGACUCUAUGGAUGAAAGGGACCUAUAGAUGAAUACCUAACAUACCUUGGAAUGCUAAUUCUUGAAGGUUCUUGGAAAGAUUCUUGAGCUUGACCUUGAUUCUUGAAGCUAGGGAUUUGCUAAUUUGAGAGAGAGAGCUUGUUGAUUUGGGGAAAAACUAUUAAACAAUGAGUUCAAAACAUUUUUAGGGCUUAAAUAUCACACCUGGGCGGAAUAAAAUCAUAGGAAAAGACCCAUUUAACCUUGGAAGAAACUUUAAUUUUUUGUCAAAUUUUUUUGAACUGGGCCCUUGGCGCGACGCACCAUGAUCGCAUCGGGCCAUUGGAAACUGACAAUUGGGAAUUGGGCUGUGGCGAGAUGCGGUGAGAUUGCGUUGCCACUUUAAUUCUAAAAUUUGGACUCAUCGCGAUACAGUGGGAUCGCACUGGUACACUGGAAUUACAUAAUUUUGAAUAUGAGCCUUGGUGCGAUGCACUAGGAUCAUGGAAGCUCACUGGUUUUGACAAUUUCUAUUUUUUGGCUCCGUGAUGCACUGAAGUGCCAGUUGACACAUUGUUCCACUAAAAUGGCUCUAACUCUUCACCCGAGUGUCUGAUUUGGGCGAAUUUUAUAUCGUUAAAAAGCUAAUUGAAUUUUCUACGCAUUGGCAGGCUCUAAAACUAAAAAUACUAAGUAUUUAAAAAAUUUGUAUUGGAUCACUCAAGGACUUAGAGCUAAGUUAAGCUUGAGAAAUAUGGGGUAUUACAAUAUCUUCUCCUUGAGAAUAUUCAUCCUCGAAUGAGAUUGAUUAAGUUGAGGAUUACUAAUAGACUGAGUUUACACACUGAAUAUGCAUAUCUGGUGUAUGGAAUUCAUGAUUGAAGCUACUGAUAUGCUGAGUUUCAUACUAAAUAAGAAUAUUUGAUGCAUGAGUACAUGACUAAACUAAUUCAUGAAUGCAUGACUGAAUAUGCAAUGGGAAGAAAUACUAUGUUUAUAACUAUAACUGGGCAUGGAAUUUAGUAAAUCUAUGGAAGAUUGUCACCUUAAGCUAAGAAUACUGAUGAAACUGAGAUAAUUUACUAAACACACAUGAACGGGAAUAUAAAAACAUGACUGAGUCUAAAACAUGAUAUAUGAAUUGAAUAUAGUGAACUAAACUGAUUUCCUUGAAUACAUGCCAUGUCAUGGGAAUGGUCAUACAACUGAUAUUGGAAUGAGAGUGUCGACUUAUGAGUACCCGUUACUUCAGACUUGAUCUUAUUAUGUGAAGAGAUAAGAGAAUUGAAGGUUUAGGACAUGAAAGAUCGGGGGUUAUAGUGAAUCUCCCCCUUGGGAUAUUAUGUCCCCCGAAGAAUGCUGACUUGGCUAGGAUUCUGAGGAAAACUAAGACGAUGCACAGGGCACCUAUGAAUUAAAUCAUGACUGAAUAUCUAGGAUCUAAAACCAAGGUAUGAUAUAUGAACUGAGCUAAACUCAAAACUACUUGGAUGCUCUAUUUUGAAAUAGUCAUAUUCAUGAAACUUUGGAUAGUACAACUGGGUGAAAAGAAGGGAAAACUGUACAAACUUAUCUGUUCGACUGCUAAACUAAAUUCCUGGCUUUACGGACUAACUCGUACUGAAAACCUAUUAUUACCUAGAUCAUUUCUAUGACACUCUUUUUAUAAAGUUCUACUGACUUUAGGGAGUAUGGAGAUUUUGGCAUAGUCUGAAUAAAACGUUUAAAUGAGAAAUUACCUCCUGGCUAAAAUUCUGUAAUAUGAGGCGAGGCUUAUGGAACAUUAUCUAAAAUAUAGUGAUUAAGCCUUAUGUACUACCGCUACAAAUUUUGAAGCUUAAAUAUAUUUCUUGAAUACUCUCUCAACUAUACCCUCCACCUUAAUACAAUAAUUCACCUGAGACUAUUGAAAAAUAUUCCCAUGGGCACUGAACACGAAUGCGUAAACAUACUAACUUAUUUGAUCAACUAGAUGAAUGAUAGUUGAAUACUGGUAAUGUAAGAUUGAAUUGUACUUAACCUGAAUAACUGGACUAAAACUAUAGAGUACUAUGCAUAUGAGGUAAGGAGUGACUGAGGAACGUAAGGUAACUGAACAUGAAUUCGUGGGAAUGGUAUUAUCUAAGAAUGUAAGACUAAGAUCAUAGCAUGAUACUGAAAUACUAAGAUACUGAUAACUGAAUAAAUGGAAACUGUAUGCUUUUGUCAAGCAAACCUGAAACUGGACUUAGUUUUGUACUGAAUGCUGAACUGAGACUGUGACUGAGUUCUGAUAGCUACGUGAUGGGGACUGGCAUAAAUUAAGGAUCUAAAUGUACACUCACACUCUGCAUUUUCUCAACUUCUUAUCUCAAAAAGAAUUUUGAUUUUUCUUCAAUGACUAAAUACAACCUCUUGCUAGCUAUUCACCCACACACUAACACAACAUUCAAUCCUAUCUUCAUAACUACAACCUCGUGUAAAACUAGCAUACAACAAUCUUUUCUUAACAUGAAACAUUUACUCUUUCCNNNNNNNNNNNNUCACUACAUCAUUUCAUAAGAAGAGUUCACUGAAGGUUAAAACAUAAAGACCUGAAGCAUGAAUGACAUUAUACCGAACUUGACAGUAAACUGAGGCCUGAGGAAUAGCACAUUAACAUCCUAGAUUUAUCAAGAGAUCUAGACUGAGGAUAUACAUAACAAAAUCUAAAUUUAGCUGAUCAUUAGGAGUAUAGCAUAAGUCAUGGAAAUUGAGCAUACUAUAAAGCAUGACAUGAGUACAUGAGUUAUGAGCUGCAUGACUUGAGUUUGGAGUUUCUGUAUUCAUGGAACAUGAUUCGUAAAACUGAGGAAACUAGAACUCCUUAUACUAGAAAUUGAAAGCGUACAUAAUUUUUGAUAACGUGCAUGAACAGGAGCUAUGAUCAUAGAGUUGACAUGUAAGGAAUGAGUAGAUAUCGUGAUAGCUGAAGUGCCAAACUUUGCACCGAGGUAAAGACGGAUUGGGAAUCAACCUCUUCUACUGCUUUUCUAUACAUACUGACAUUACUACUAAAAUCUGAAAGUCUGACUUGGUUACUUAUUAUGCCAUCUCCCCUUAGCUUAAAUUCGUUAUUCUAAGUCUGUGAACCACUUAAUAAACUCUAAGUCGAACUGAAACCACUUUACUCUAGAGCCUGAGAUAUGACUAUGCUCACAAACACUAAACUCAUUUUGAAGGACUACUCCUGAUAAUGUAAGAUCUACUGCUAGUACUUUCUUCUGAUACAUGAUUCUUAGCUUUCUAUUGCCCUAACAAUCAUUAUCUAGCAACCCUUAUCACUAACUAACUUAGAAUUCUCAACUUUUUUUUCUACUAGUUCAAUCUAUAGAUUCAAACUUAAAUCAACUAAAACUGAGGUACUACCCCUUCAUCCAAAGACUGGUUCAUCAGGAAACUAAAAUGAAAUAACUCAAUUACUGAAAUUAACUAAAAGGAUUUUCUGAAAUACUGUAACCAAGAUAAUUUUUGUAUACUCGUCUGGCUGGAAUAGAUUUACCUAUUGAGGUAAGCACUAAGAAAGGUUCUAUUAAAAUUUCUAGUCUGACUUAAAAUUGACUGAUAUGCAAGGAUUUACAAAAGACAAAGAAGCUCCUGGAUCAAAUAAGGCAUGAAUAUGUAAAUGAAAGAUCUGUAACGUAUCACUGACCAUGUUAGGAGAACUUUCCUGAUCUUGUCAGGAUUGAAGGGCAUAAAUCCUAUUUGGGCAUUACCCACUAGUGGUAUUGGAAGUAGGACCCUGCUAGUUCGGGUGACCGAACUGAGAUGAAGGACAGUUGAAUGACCCUGUUGGCGUAAAUCUUUUACCCUCGGAGCUAUUACUUUACACUUUCGAAUCCUGUGGUAUGGCUUUCCAUAUUUAAAACAUACAUUUCUACCAGCUCUACAUAUACCCUAAUGGUUUCUACCAUAUUCUUUGCAAAGCGGGUAGGUACGGCCUAUUUUUAUACUACCCAAAGGUGGAGUGCCUGAUGUUCUACCUCGAGUGUCAUUUAUAAACUUUGGCACUGGCUCACUAUUUAUAGGAGGAUUUAGGGUUGAGAAUUUCUGAUGGAACUGGAAGCGGUUACCACCCUCUGACCUUUGCCUAAAACCACUUGUUCUGACUCGCUUAUUCUCUCUAUCUUUCUUUCUAUGCUUUUCCCUCUUACUCUGUUGAGUAUGAAACCCAAGACUAGAUAGGAAAAUCACCUUUAGGUUGUUCUGAGCAACUAUUGAAUAGGCUAAAGUAGUGAAAGAAGCUCUGAAUUCUGCAUGGGAGACAUGCUCAUCCAGGGGAUCUGCCUGAAUGGGCUGAUGUGCUGAUUGAUUUCCAUUUCUUCUUCUGUUAGUCUUUUUGGGAGGCAUGUUCUAUAACCAGAAGGAAGAAAAGGAUUAUUAGCUUGAGCUCAUGCUCACUCGCCCGACAUGAAUACUGAAAAAAGGGAAACUUUUCCUAAAAAUAUCUCAUAGCCUCCUGUCCAUAAGUGUGGUGUACUACACACCUAUGCACAAGACUCUACUUGAUAUGGAUUUUAGACUCCCUAGGAUUUUUUUGAACCCUAGGCUCUGAUAUCAAGGUAGUAACGAGCUGAAAGUACACCCUGGGUAUCAUACGACGCUUACGAUCCCGAAGGGCCACAAGCUAACCCAUGACUAUUAUCUGUUGUGAGCAUUGAAUAAUAAUAUGUGAUAAAUGUGAAAAAUAGGUUGAAAUUCCAUAAGGUUCAAAAGAUCUGGAAUACUGAUAAAUAUACCAAUCAAUUAAAAAUAUCUAAAAACUAAACACUAUCUGAACUGGUCUAGUCUAAAAGCCUCUAGCUGAAUUGUCUGAAAGUGGAGUUAAUGGGACAAAACCCAACUAACUCCAAACUACUGAACUAAUGAUAAACUAAAAUACUAAAAUAAAAACAUAUCCUCAAUAGAUGAGGACUCAUUACUAAAUCUGCGACUGCUGACUGGGUCUGUCUAAGCGUGGUCAGAAACCUGAGCGUCCAAACCUAUGAUAUGAAACAUCAUAAGGCAAUAAAGUAUGCGUCAAUAUGUGGGAAUGUACUAGUAUGCUAGAUAAGGAAAUGUUGAAUGCAAGGUCUUAUAUGCAUGAACAAUAACUAACUGAAUGAUAUAGAGAAACUGAAUGUAAGAGUACAUGAAUAACUGAUACUACCGAAAUCACUGAGUAUGCAAUAUUGUGGACAUGUGUAUAUAUAUAUAUAUAUACUGUAUCUGAGAUUUUAUGAAGCUGAGUACUAAGUUUGAUAACUGAGUAACUGAUAACUGAUGUUCUUAUACUGAUUGACUGUGUCUGACAGUCCUGAUUCUGUAAAAUUAAAUUGAGUUCUAAACGAAGACUGAAAUUGAAAUUGUGGGAGGUAAUCAUCUUACUGACAUGCCCCAAAUCUGAGCUGAUAGAGUCAAACCUGUAACCCCAUUUGGAAGGGUUCUAAUAUCGUGCCAUGGGUACUAAUAAAUAAACAUGUAUUUUGGUUGAUCCUAUUUAUAACAUAAGUGAUAAACAACGCAUAAAUUAAUAAAAGAACAAUAAGAACAUUACAAAUUAUAACAAAGGGUACUUCUUAAAUAAACUAACUACCCCAAAUAAACAUGCACAUAAAGUAAAUGUAAGAAAAAGAACAAAUUCGCAAAAUUAAACAAAGAUUAGUUUUGGUCUUAUUCGGAUCAGAGCCCCAACUUGUUAAUCAUUAUCCGACCUAAUAGUCGGAUUCUUAAACAAGUAAAAAUGUCAAACGUCGUGUAAUGUCUCUGGGUAUCAUCACUUCUGAAUGACUAUCUUCCCCACCCCAUCUAGGCUGAUUGCUAACCUAAAGGCGCACUAAAAAGGGAUAAAACUAAUGCCUCUAGAAAUGUCUAUCUCCCCACCUAUCGCCCAAGAGGCAUUGGGCUUUGCUAAUUUGGAUUUGUGGUCUAGACGAACAAAGAUAUGUUUUCUAGACCUCAAAGCGCCUAAAACACAAAAGAUGUCAAGUAGCAUAUACUGUCUCAAGUUAGCCUCUUGGUUAAUUAAAGAGUGAUUAAUGUGAUCAAGAUAAGUAAUUACUAUUUUUUGAUGUAGUUAAGCUAUAGUCAUGGUAUCUAUGUGUUAAGAAAUUAUUUAAUAUGAUGAAAGAUAAUUGUCAUUUACGUCAAAAUAAUGUGUGUUAUAAAAUUUGCCUAGGUUGUCAUAUAGCACAUAAAGCACAUAGAUCUUUGUCCCCUCCCCCAAGCAGUCCCAAAUUUUAUUAUUACAUCAGAAUAACGCUUAUACAAUAAAUUCCUACAUACUAAAAAAAAUAAACUACACUCGGGCGACUCUUCAAAACCCCACUUUAAUGACACUUGUUGAAUACAACAAAAUAAUAAUGCAAGCACAAGACAAACCCACACAUGAUUUGGCACAUCGAAACAAUAAAGAAAGGCAUAGCAAGCAAGCAAUGAGCAAUUAUUUCAAGCUAACUCAUGUAGGCAUACUUUCUAAUAUCAUAACGUUAUUACACUGGAUAUAUAAAAUGCAUCAAAUGCAUCAAUGAGAGAGACUCAAUAGUGAGACUACAAGUAAUAAUAAUAAUAAUAAUAAUAAUAGGACUUUGAAUAAAAACAGUAAAAGUAAUGUCCGAAUCCGACGACUACUGAAUUCCAAAAGUACCACUAAGUUUGAAAAAAAAAAGUAAUUAUUUUGUAUAUGGACUAGUUGAGAACUUUUGUGAUCCAUAGUAGUAGUGAAAGUGGGAUAAAAAAAGGUGCCCUCUCAGAGAGAAGAAAAAAAAGGGUUUAUAUAGUGUAGGGAGGGUGGUGUCAUCAAAAGAGUAAAAGGAAAAAAGUAAUUUUAUUACUUAAAUAGAUAGCAAAAUUAUAAGGAAAACUGAUAUAUUUUUUUUGCCUAGACGCAAGAUCUGCCUAAAAAUUAAGGAGAAAAUAUUUAAAAUAGCUAAUUGGGAGAAUUAAAAGGAAAAGAAUAAAAUAUUUAAAAUAGCUAAUUAAAAUAGCUAGUUGGGAAAAUUAAAGAAAAGAAAUAUUCAUCAAUAGGAAAGGCGGCUGAAACAAUUAAGGAAACGAAAUAAUCAUUAAGCAAAUUGUCAAAAUUACCAUGAAAAGAAAUUGAACAAUGCGUUGCUCACUACUAUCCGAUUUGUUCAAAUUUAACAUAUAAAUUAAACUGCAAUUUAAAGGUGUAAAAAUCAGUCACAGGAAAACAAAACCAACCAAAUAGACAAGUUAAGCACUAAUUAAAGAGUUGUACAAAUCAUCCAUAUAAAUCAUGUCAUAAUGGAAUAAUUAAGGGUAUGGAAAUCAGUCUAAAGAAAUUAAACCAACUACGCAUAUAAAUCAUACCGUAAGGAGAAGAAUCAAAUAUUAGGGAGAGAGAAUCGAUGUCAAAAAUCAGAGUCUAAUAACCAGCCAGGAAAAUAGGAUAGCAAACCCUUAAGAACACUAGUUGCAAGCCUAGCCAAAAUUAGGCUUAAAACAGUUCACAAAAAUAGACAUUUUCACACCUAUGGAUUUAAGCACAUAAGCGCACAUGAAAUUGCAAGAAUCAAUUUAAAAUUCGUAAUCAAGUCUUGUCAAUUUUGAAUCUAAAAAAAAUAUUGAAAGGCAAAGAAGGGAAGAAGAUAAUAACAUACUGGACAUGCAAUUAAAAUGAGAAAUUAAAACAUUGGACAGAUUCUUCAGAAUCUGUCAUAAAAAAAUAAUUAGUCCUCUCGGUAGGUUUGACCGGCAGUGAGGCGGCAGUGGCUUAAGGUUCUGUUGACUAGAGUAGUGGUGGCUGGUUGCGUGGAUCUGGAUGCUGGUGGGCGACUGAAGCAGCGACGGCGUCAGCAUGGAUGCUGGCGUUCGUGACGGCGGAAAUUUUAGUGUUAGAGUGGAGACAUAGAUUGGAGGUUGCUGGGGUUGAUACUGUCGUUGUUUUUUCGGCCGUAGACGGUGUUGCGGUGGCGGUGGCAGGCGGAUCCUUAGAGAGACAGGGGAGAGAUAAAAAGAGAAAGGUUAAGGGGGCCAGCAACGAGAAACAAAAAAAGAGAAAGAAGAUGCUGAGGCAGCUGCUCUGGUGGUUCACCGGCCAUAGUGGCUGGUGUUGUGGUGGAGGUUGGCUGGCGACAGCUUGGUUGUUUUAGAUAGAAGGGAGAGAGAGGGAAUGAUGUGCGGUUGAUUAAGGAUUUAGGGUUAGGGUAUUGAUUGUCUAAAAAUAAAAGAAAAGAGAAAUGUGAUCUUAGCUAUUGGAUAAAUUUGAUCAACAGCUGAGAUAUAAAUAUUAAGAAAUUGACCCAAAUUGGCUGAAAAUUUUAAAUUGAGUCUAAUUAGACACAAUUUGACUAGAAUUGUAAUAAAUUGGGUAAAAUUAGGUUAAAAUUAUUAUAGAUUGGAUAGAAAACAACUAAAAUUUAAAUAAAUUAGGAACUUGAAUUGAAUUAGGCUACUAAGUAAUAAUGACGAGAACAAAAUAAUAAGGCGCAUGUGAAAUUAAUGUUAUAUAAAAUUAUAGAUAAUAGUAAUAAUAAAUACAAUAAAUUUAUAAAUUGUGAGUGUGUACAUUUACGUAAAAAUAAAUAUAUUAAUAAAAUUAUCAAAAAUAUCAAAUUUGAAUUAAUAAGUUGUGAAAAAUAAUACUAAAAAGUAAUAAAAUAUUUUAUACAUUUUAAAGUCAUGAAUGUGGCUUGUCCAAAAUUAUUUGAUAUCGUUAAAUAAUUUUAACAAAAAUAGCAGCCUAAGAGAACAUCAGGAGGUCAAAAUUGGGUGUCAUCACGUGGCACAUCAGUGAAUAAUACACUAAAUGUCCAUGUAGGCAUACGUAUAUGCCACAUGGGCACUAAUGUUGACAAAAAUACGAUUUUAAUUAGUCGGGAGAUAAUAGGACCAUGCUAAAGUUCGAGAGUAUCUCAGCAUUUUCGUGUAUAUUUUGGGUGAAAACAGAGUAACUUUCUCUUUGUUUUUAUGAAUUUGUGAUUUUACUUGAUAACUCGCUAAAGAAGAUUUUAAUUUAAUUUUUUUGAUAUUGGAUGAAUAAAAAAACUUAAUAAACUCUAGAUUAAUUUUAAUUAUCUUUCCAUCCACAUAGAAAAUUUCUGAACUAUUUGCAUGAAAUAUGUAAUACCCCGCAAAGUCCUCUUCCAGUCUGAGCCUUAGAGCGUACUCAGUAAAGUGGAAAUCUGAGGCUAAAAGUUUCAAAAAUAUUUUCCUAAGUAUAAAUUAAUUUUAGUCAUGUGGAAUUUCUCUAAUUUCUACUUUUUUCAUGUAGAGCAAUGAAUAAGCUUUCUAUCGAUACCAAAUUCGCCCAAAUCGGACACUUGGGUGAAGGGUUAGAGCCAUUUUAGUGAGACAGUGUGCCACCUCGCACCUUAGCGCGUUGCACAGCCAGCCAAAAUGACAAUCGUCAAAAUCCAAUGAGCCUCCGCAAUUCCACCGCAUCGCGGUAUAGUUUCAAUUCCCAACCAAGAUGGCAAUGCGAUUUCCACCGCGUUGCACCGUCGUGCAGUUUCUCAAUUGUCCAUUUUCCAGUGAACUAGCGCGAUUAUGGCGCGUCGUGCCAGCAUAAAAAAUUGGAAUUUUUAGUUUAAUUCCAAGGACGAAAAGGAAUUUUUCCCAACCCUAAUAUAUACCCACUUUACACAAGAAUUGGCCUCAUUUUCUCUCUUUCCACUCUACAAAAAUUAGGGUUUUCAAGAAAAUUAAAAUAUCCUCUCUUCUUCAAGCAAAAAUCAAGAAAGAUCUAGAGAAAUCAAGAAUCUCUCCAAAGGCCUUCAAUAAAAGAGUUUCCCCAAGGUACGUAGAUGUUGAUUCUUGGGUCCCUUUCAUCUAAGAAGCUCAAAACCCCUUUUUAAAACUUCAAAAUUUUUAUGCUUAUGAGAUUCCAUGAUUUGUAUGAGUUGAAAUUGAUGUUCCUUGUGAUGUUGAGUUUUGAUUUAUGUUUGUGUACAAGAUUUGUGAGCUUUGACCUUAGUAUGUGGAAUUUAUGUGAUGCGUUCAUGGCAUUUGGUUGUAGAAAUGGUUGAAUAAGUGAAACAUAUCCCCCAUAGGUUUGAUAAAGAGCUUAGUUGAAGCAUAAGGGUGAUUGUAGUAUGUUGAAGAUGAAACCCCAAAGUGUGAGUUAGUCUAUGCAUGCCUAGUAUUUGAUAAAAUGCCCAAGUGGAUGAAUUAUUCCAUGAUAGAGGGAAAUCCCUAACUAAGUGUGAACCCGUGCAUGUCUAGUGUUUGUUGAAGGACUCUAGUGAACAAGUGGAGAUAUGAUGGUAGUAAAUUCCUCAAUUAUGUGCUCUUUGAUAUCUGCUAAGCUUUUAAUACAUGCUAAGUGAUUAGCAAGUAAGUUGAGACAUGAUAGUAUGAAGUUUUCCCCAAAUCAAUUGAUAUCCAAGUACAUGUCAAGACUGAUUUAGGUGUGAAGUACUUGAGGUAAAACCUUGUUGAAGGAAGUAUAAUCUAGUAGCAUAUUUCCUUACGCUAGUAUAUGUUGAUGUUUCCUAAAUACUUGAUGUGAUACCUUAAUGAUUGUAAAGGUGAAGGUAUGUUAUGUUUCCUAAAUACUUGAAGAGAUGCUUUAAUGAUAAUGAUGAUGAAUGAAUGAAUGACUAUGAUGAUGAAUGAUUCGACUGUGAUGAUGAAUGAAUGGUUGUGAUGAUGGAGGAAUAAUUCUACUUUAUUUUAUGCUAUCGAGUCCUGGGGGUAUUUAUACCCUGUAAUUUAGCUGUUGUAUAGAGCUCGUGUCAGUUUCUCGAUAAUUCCAGUCGAGCCAUAAUUCUCAGAAUUCAGUGAACUAUAGAACUUUGUAUCCUCAGAUAGUUACAGAACUUAAGAAAGCUCAGUAAUCUCAGUUAUCUCAGUAAUCUCCGUAUCGCUAGUUAUCUAGCCUUAGUCCUGUAAUCAACUCAGAUCUAAGAGUAUUCAAGUGUUCAAUUCUAAUCUAAGAAACGAUUUAAGUAAUCAUAAUCUAUUCAAGCUCUGUAUCGUCAGUCAGAUACUGUGAUUCAAUGCUAUUUUCGUCAGAUAUGGAACUAAGUGAUCUCAGCGUAGCUUAGUCAGAUAUUUUGAUAAACAUGAUUAGUAUCAGAUUUAGUUCAGUUGUGUUCAGUUAAAAAUUUAGUCAGAGUCUUUCAGUUGGGAGUAGAAACUAGCAUCGAGCAAGGAAAGAGAUGACAGCUCCUCCUGUCAGUGAGAGAGAGAGAGAGGCCGAAGUCGUUAGUAGCAAUCUCUGACCUCUAGAACUAUGUAGCCAGCUCAAGAUACAGGAGUCAUCAUCUGGAAAAGGCUGUCACCUCCAGAGGGAGAGUAUUUGACUAUUAUAUUGCCUUAGGUUGACUGCCUGGUAACGUUCAUCCAUCAGAGAUGAUUGACCAGAGAGAAUUCUUUACCCGUGGCACGGUAUUGACACCCUUCUAACUGGGGUUACAGGUUGGACCCUACCUAUGGUAGGGGUAUGUCGGUUAAGUAACUACUUCCCACAGUUUCAGUCUCAAUUUUAGUAUCAAUCUUCAGAAAUUAGGACUGUCAAAUACAGUCAUCUAUCUUUAUGAAGAACUCAGAUAGUUCCAUCAAUUCAUGGACCAUCCUGUCAGAUAGGCUUGGUCUCAUAUAUAGUUCUUUGAUGUCAUAUUCAGAGAUAUGCCUCUAUAUAGGCUUGAUUCACAGUCUCAGAUUCUAUUGAGUAUCCUUGUUGUCAAAUUUAGAUAUAUUCAUAUUUCUUAUCAUUGAUAAUAGUUUUUGAAAUCAUCCGUUAGAGAGGUUGAUCUCAAAUCCUGCCAGUCGAAAGUAGUAAAGCUCAGAAUUCAAUCCUUGAUGUAAGUGCAUCCAGAUACUCAGUUAUCAAUAUCAGAUGAAUCAGUGAUUCAGUAUCUCAGUGUCAGUAGUGAGUUCAAUCUGCGGUAAAGUGGUAUCCGAGUUUCAGUAUCUAGAGUUGUGAUGAUUGUGAUUAUAGUCUGUGCAUUCAUGUAUGUGUUCUCGUGCGACAUUUUCAUGAUUAUACAGUUUAGAUAUUGUGCACGCACGAGCCUUUGAAUUUAGCCUUACCUUGUCUACAUACUCAGUACAUUCCUGUACUGACGCAUUUGCGCUAUAGUGUUUUAUUUGGCACCAUAGGUUCAGAGGCACAGAACCCAGAGUUUUCUCAACAGUUCCAUCCCAGUCAGCAGCAGUAGUCGUAGCAGUGAGUCCUCUUCUUUUGAGAACGAGUUUCAAUUUACUAUUAUUUACAUAAGAUUUUAUUUAUAUUUUCAGUUAACAGAGUUAGUUAGGGUCAUGUCCCAUCAACUCCAUAGCUCAGACAGUACAGAGGCUUUUCAGACAGAUGUCGGAUGUAUUAGUAUUCAGUUUUUUGUAUUUGAGUAUUUAUAGAUGUGUUGAACCUUAUGGUUAGUCUCCGCAUUUAUUUUAGAUAUUAUGCAGUAUACAAGUGCAGCUAUCAGAAAAGGGUUAGCUUGUGGUCCUUCAGGGUCAUAAGCACCGUGUGACGUCUUGGGAUGGGAUCUCGGGACAUUACAAAUCCAAAGGUCAAAUAUCGCACUUUUAGGACGAAAUCAAGUCAAAUUGCACAAUUUUAUUGUCAAUCAGUAAUCGAUCUUCUUAGUAAAGACACCGAAGCACAAAAACAUAAUCAAAUCGUACUUCAUAAAGGGUAGAGAAUUGAAUCACAUGAGUUCACAAUAGAGCAGUUAAUACAAACAUUUAUAAAUUUUUAAACGAUGAAGAGUACAAUUUUUUACUACAUUUUGGUGCAAAAUCUAAACACAACUUGUGUUGCAUGCUAAAAUGUCUUUAAUAUUCAACUAUUACUCAUGUACUCGCUGAAAUUAAAAUAAAACACGAUAAUUUCUCUUAAAUUUUUCAAUGAAACUAUAAAUCUAAAGUAUACGGUUAACUUAAAACAUUAAUAUACAUAUUAGAGUAAAUACAAAAUUAUUUUAAAAAUAAAAUUUACUGACAAAUAUAAAGGGAUGUCAAUGUAUUUCACAUUUUCGCUACCUUAUUUAAUUAAAUAAAUUAUCCAUCUUUACAUGUUCAAGAGAUGUUGGAUUCAUUUUUAUUAUUUAAAUAAAUAUCAUAUUUAGUGUAGAGUUUAAACUCAUUAAAGUGAGGUACACGCAUGAGGUUCGUACACCAAAACUAAUAUAAAAAAUAUAUGACAAGAGGUAAGAGUAAAUUCCCUAAGUGAUCAUCCAUAUUUGGAAAGUGCUACUAAUAUCACUUUUAUUUUUUUUUAGAACUAUAAUAUCAUUCAACUGUCACUAUUUUCCUCCAAAUAUAUUUUACACAAUUAAAAACUACUUCUCUCCUAGUUGGAUGUCAUACCAUAUGAAACUUCUUCUUUUUUUCCUUAAAUAAUAAAUAAUACAUUAACUAACCCAUUUAACUCAACCAAAUUUUAGACUGUCAAAAAAACUAAUACAAAGCCUAAAAAUUUCCUACACAAUUCUAUGUCAAACAUUACAUUAAGGAUACAUAAUCUUACUUUAUUUUCUAUAAUUAGUUGGACUUAUGAUUAUAUGCCUCUUCGCUAAUUCUUGAAUUUGAUUAGGGAUAUUUAUUAAUUUUAAGUUUAUUAAUCCCACCAUUUACAAAAUAAUUAAUUUCAUGAGAUGUCCUAAUCCAUUAAAAUAAUUUUGUCUAUCUUAUUUCUGUGCCAAACGACCCCUUAAAGUUUUACAUAAUGAAUGCCAAUUGAAAAACAAUGUACAAGAGAAAUAUUUGCAAAAUAAAGACUACAAGAAAAUUUAUACGACUCUUUCAAAGAUAUAAAUGAUUUUAUUAAGAUCCUAAAAGGGAAUAAUUUACAAACUCAUUGAUUCUUUAUAUUUUUAGUUUAACUAGUUUAACCGCACGUGUCUCACACAUCUAACAUUUGAUACUUAAAGUUAAAUAAUUGUAUCUAUUGCGGGAAUUUUAAUCAAGUGUAAAAAGUUCAAAUCACUUUUCAAAGAUCGUUCACACUUUAAUAUAUUAGUGUAAACAUAAACACACACACACAAACACACACACAUAUAUAUAUAUAUAUAUAUAUAUAUAUAUAUAUAUAUAUAUAUCUUUGUGUGUGUGUUUAUGUUUAUAUUAUAUAUGUUUAUGAAGUUCCAAGUAGUUGAUGGAUCAUAACUUUUGUGUUUGCUAUCAAUACCUAUUUCCCUUACUGGCAGAGACUAAGAGAGUCUCAUCAAUUUGAACCACAUCUGUGGUGUGAUUUUUUUUUUUCUAUAUUUAAAAUCUUUUCGUGUUUUUAAAGUCAAAUCUUUAUAAAACGAUUGAUUACAUUCUUAAAAUACUUUAAACUUUUUAAAAUUUGAUACUUCUUAAAUUUUUCUUAUUCUAAUACUUUUAUAUUUAUUUAUAAAUUUUUUAAAUCUUCUUAAUAUAAAAUUUAGUUGAUUUAGAAUUAUUAAACUAAUGGAAAAAGUAUUAGUUAUCAUUAAUUCUAAUGACUUCUAAUAAGGAUAGGUUUUACCAUAAAUAUAUUUAAUCAAUUUUAAACUCUUUAAUAUUAGGAAAAAAAUGAAAGACGAUUUUGUCGAGAACAAAGACUUUUAAUGAAGGAUAAAAUGUUUAAAUAAUAUUUCCGAGGCCUUCACACUUUUAAUAUAUUAUGGAUAUGGAUAUCGAUAUAGAUUAUAGAUUAUAGAUAUAGAUUAUAAAUAUAGAUUAUCUAUAUUAUAGAUAUAAAUAUAGAUUAUAGAUAUAGACAUAGAUAUAGAUAUAGAGUAGAGAUAAGAUAACUUUAUAAUUAAGAAGAUUGACGGGUGUGGAGUCAAUAUUUUUCGAGUUACCGUUUAUUAUUAGUACAAACAAUUUCUUUUGAUAAGCAAAUACAUCUAAAACAACAUCAUAGCGAGAAUUGAGAAAUGAGAUUAAUAAUUUCCUUAUACUUUGUAGUUUCUUCAUCUCAGUUUAUUUCAUACAAUCUUUAUCUUAAAAGUUAGAACAUGAUGUUUGGUUGAAUUAUUUGAUGAAUAUUAAAAAUCCUGUUAUUCCCUGGAUCAAAUUCAAGAAUCGGUGGAAAGAUAUAUAAUCAUGAGUCUAACAAAUUAUAAAAAAUAAAGUAAAAUUAUGCAAAAAAAUGUUAUGACGGAAAGAGGUAAAUACAAAAAUAAAGAAAGUAAAGAACACCAAAUUUAAAGUGAAAAAACCCUUCAAGCGAAGGUAACAACAACGGGAUCACAAAGAUCAAAAUUGCUUCACUAUAACAAUAAUAGGGUUGCAAAUAUUCUUCCAAUGGCCACACAACAAGAUACAAAUUUGGAGAAGAAAUAGCUACACUAACAAAAGUAAAUCAAGAGAAAUCACUCGAAACAGAGCUACUAUUCGAAACACAAAACAAGAUGCUACGAACCUCAAAAUCCGAUCUCCACCAUUCAAAUCAAACAACAAGAUUUUUGAAAUACUCAGUCAAAAUUUCAGACCUCUCCAAUGGUGAACAAGGUGGAAAACACGAUUUGAAGUUGGCUAGUCAGAGAGAAAAAAUUCACAACAAACUCUCUUUCUCUCUUCUCUCUUUGGUAAAAUCUCUCUCAAAAACCUCUCUUAUGUGCUAAUGUCUACCAAAAACAAAUACUAAUAAACAUGAAUAAUUCUCUCUGAAAUAGUCCUAUUUAUAGAUGAUGGGUGGUGCUUUUCCUAAAGUCAAACCAACUCAAAAUAAGAAUAAAAAUCCAAAUCCUUUUCCAAAUAGGAUUGAAAACCAAAAGAUAAUAUGAUUAGGCCAUGGGCCUUUGGCUGGAACAUGAACCACGACCCAUAAACUCCCCCUCCAUCCAAGGAUACAAAUGUUUCUUCAGGCAGAGGAACUCAUGAUAGGCUUCAUGCCUGGCAAAGUUCUAUAAUACUCAUGUUUCUCAACAACCACAAAUUUUAUUAACAAAUCUGAAGGAUUUCCAUUAUUAUUUAUCUCAACUUAUAAACUUACAUCUAAGAAUAGCACCAUAUGAAUAAAAAACAUUUUCAUAACAGGAGAGAAAAUUUUAUCAAAGUCAACUCCCUUUCUCUGGCCGAAGCUUUUGACAACUAGCUUCACGUUAUACCUAUGUGCAGAGGUAUGUUGAUCUUUCUUUACUCUAAAGAUCCAUUUGUUUUUUAGAGCUUUUGAAACAUCCUGGCUUUUGACCCUUAGAAAAUUCCCUAGAAUUCUGUUCUUCAGACCCAAUACGACUCAUGGGUACUAGCUGUAUGUUGGAGUAAAAGUGGUAUGGUCCUAUCGUAUGCUGACUAGUUUUAGUUAGUGGGAUGGUUUUGGUCACUGGAAUGGGUACGAAUUUAGGUCAUGAGUCGUAAGGGUUUGAUACGAGUCGUAGAAGGGACUCGUAUGGUGGGAAGUAUUUGAUCCUCCUGGUAUUUCAUUCUGCCAGGGAUACGAGUCAUGGAUACGGAUCAUGGAUACGGAUCGUAUGUUAUGGUUAUGACUUUAUUGGAUGGGUCGUAUACUGUACAAUGUUUGAUCCAAGGGUUGAGUAUUGGAUAUAAGUGGAGGAUACCAAUCGUAUAGGAGGUACAACUCGUAUGGGUCAGUUGUAUCCCUGUGAUGGGUUUUUAGGGAAUUUAAGUGGGGGUAUUCUGGACAUUUCCCUACUUACCCUAUGUAAUACCCCAUACUAAUCUUAGCUCAGUUUAACUCUUAGUAGUAUGCAUAAGAGGCUUAAAUCCUGAAAAUUUCACUAAGUGUUUAGAACUUAGUAAUUUUUAAGACCUUUUAACUUUGAGGAUUGUUAAAUUAGUCUUCCCAACCCUGAGAUGUUGGUUUUUGAGUUAAUGCAUGUUCAGGGUGUAAGAAGCAUAUCUCAGGGAAGUUUUGGAUUUUUCAGAUAAGGAUUGGGUCAUGUUUGGAUCACGAUUCCAGUAGCUCAUUGAGAUAAGGCCGAGUCACAAUAGUAAUAGCGAUGAAACCCUUAUCACAUCACAGUGACCCUAUAAACCGUAUUCCAAUUAUGAAUUUAAUUGCAUGAGGGGCAAUUGUGUUAUUUUCCCUUAAUUCAAUUUGUCAAUUCAUGAAUAAUAACAUCCGUUAGGGCAUUAUUUGCCCAUCUUCUUCAAUUCUCCUCUCAAAGAAACCCUAUUCACUUCCCAAGAACAUCAAUUUCCAUUACUUUCUCUCUAAGGAAAAAAACCAUUCAAGUUCCUAAAUCCAAGAACCUUUAAGAAAGUAUCAAGAUUGGUGUUUCUCUUUCAAGAUUAAGGAUUUAAGGUAUGUGGGAGUGCACAGAUGGGUCUGUUUUCACCCAUGUAGCCCAAGAAUCCUCUUUUUAUUUUUAAAUUAUGAGUUUUACAUGUUUCAAGUUGAAUUAUUUCUAUGAAUCUCUUGUUGACUUCAAUUAUGAGUUAUGGUCUCAUGUGUUUUCUAGUAAAAUGAAUCAUAUCAUAUUUGAGUAUUGAAAUUUCCAUACUAUGUUCAAUUGAUUUUACAAUGAAUCCCCAAGUUAUGAAUUUAGCUAUGUUAUCCUAUGGUCUUCCCAUGUUCAAGUUCAUGAUUCCCAAGUAUUUGAUGAAAUGUCUAUGCUUUUGAGUCAUUGAACUAUGAUUCAAUCCCAAUGUUUUAAGCUUUACUAAUGUAUUUUAUACUCAUUCAGUGUUGGUGGGUUAUGAAGACCCGAUACCUAUGUGAUUUACAUAAAUUUAGCUUUUCAAGUAUUUAGGCAAUUAAUCCAUGAAUCUUAUCAGUAUACUCAGAUAUCCAUAUUCAUGAUGAGCAUUAUGAGUUUAUGUGUUAUUAAUUACCCCAGAAUUCGUAUGCACUGUUAUUUUCAGAAUACCAUGACCUAAGAUUAUCAGUUAUUAGUUAACAGUGCAUGCACCAAUUAGUAUUCUGGUGUUAUUCAGUUGGGAGUAGGAUUUAGCACCGAGAAAACUCAGGGAUGGGGGCAUUCUUGCCAGUUUAGGGUUUGAUCCUAAGUAGCAAUCUCUGAGUUACAGAACUAUAUAGCCAGCGUAGGUUUGAUAUGUCUUCCUUCCAGUUUAGCGUUGACACAAAUCACAUGAAUAUCCUGGCAGUAUAGGGUGACUCCUUAGUCCUUCGAGACACCAAUUUAGUAGAUCCACACAGCCAGUGUUAGUACCCGUGACACGGUACUAACACCCUUCCUACUGAGGUUAUAGGUUGGACCCUAAUUAACUCAGAAUGGGUAUUUCAGUUAGAUGAUACCUCCCAUAGUCUCAAUACAGUAUUCAGUACAGUUUCAGUUCAGGUUUUCUUGACCAAAGCAUACAGACUCUCAAUUAUUCAGUUAUCAGAUUUCAGUAUUUUAUUUUAUAGAUUAUUGCAGAAAUUUAUCUGUGCUUAGUCUUGCAUUCUCAGAUAUUAUAAUUUCAUGCAUUCAUGCUCAGUUAUCCCAUGUUGUUUAGUUAGUUCUUACCUUAUAUGCAAGUACUCCACAGUUUUAGUCCAGUUUUUUAGACGUUAGUUAUUCAGUAUUCAACUAUCAGUCAUUCAGUUAACUAGAUCAGCUUAGUAAAUGCUGUGUUUAGUUUUGUAUGUUUAUGCAUUCAUGCUCAAUAUAAUUGUAUAUUCAGAUCCUCAAGUUAGGCAAAUUUCUAUCAUGUAGUUUUAGACCCAACAAUCAUACAGUAUCCAUGUUUUACUAUUUUCCAGCUUCAGUUCUACUUAUUCUACAGAAGAAAAGAUAUUAAGAAACUAAGUGUAGUGAUUUACCAGCUUAUUAGAUUGUGUUUGUUACUCAUGUUUUAAGAUAUUUCAACUUUUAGUUUAUUUCAGUCUAUUGGUGAUUUUACUUACACUUAAUAUGCAUGUUUUAAGAUUACAUAUGAAAUUAGUUUUACUUUUUGCAUUCGCCCCUUCUUAGUAAGUACAUUCCAAAAGUACUAAUCCACAUGUACGUCUGUGUAGCUACAUUAUUUCAUAAUGUAGGUACAAGUUGUAGUCCAAACAUCAUAAUCAGACAGUUGUAAUUUCUAGCCAACAGGUGAUGUGUUCUUCUAUUUUAGGGACUUCAAUUAGAUAUUGUUAAAAUACCCCGAAAGUAUACCCUGGACAUCACACAGUGCUUACGAUCCCAAGGGACCACAAGCUAACCCAUGAAUUGGUACCUGCUAUGAGCACUAAAUAGUAUACUGAUAACAAAGACACCAUGUGUAGAAAUUAACUAAAAAUGCCAUAAGGUUUAAUGCUGAAAAUAAUAUUGAAUCAUAAAAUUGAAAGCAACUAUCUGAAAAUUGAUAAAAACUGAUAAUAUAACUGACUGUCUGAAAGUGUCUGAAAGCCUCUAACUGACUAAGAAGUUGAUGGGACAAGCCCCUAACUAACUCCAACUGACUACUAAAAUGAAAUACUGAAAUAGACAGAAACAGUCCUCGAUAUAUGAGGACUCACCACUGCUUCUACUGCAGAUGCACUAAAAUAUCUAAGUAAGGUCGGGAUCCAGAGAGUCUUAACCUAUGAUAUAAGACAUCAUAGCACAAAAAAUGAGUAUAUAAUUAGUACUUUGAAUGUACUGGUAUGCUAGAUGAGGUUAGGUUGUUAUACAUGGGUUAUGUGCAUGAGUAAUAACUGAAUGAAUGAGUAGCAUGAGGUAACUCAAUAACUGAUAUGAAUGUGUGAGUGUUAUAAAAUCUAAAAAUACAUGACCAAGUAUAUAACAUUAUUUUGAUAUAGCCUAUAAACUGAAAUACUGAAAUUUGAUAAUUGAAGAACUGAUAAACUGUAUGCUAUGGUCAAUCAAAACUGAAUUGAGUUCUAAACUGAAUACUGAAAUAGAAAUUAUGGGAGGUAUAAUCUAACCAACAUGCCCCAAAGCUGAGUUGAUCGGGGUCUAACCUGUGACCCCUGUUGAAAGGGUGCUAGUACCGCGCCACGGGUACUAACAAUGAUUGUGUCGGCCCUAAACUAACAGGAAGACAUCUUGUCAAUCCUAAGCUAACAAGAAGACUCAUGAGAAAUGUGUCAACUCUAAAAUAACAGGAAAACAUCUUAAACCUACGCUAUCUAUGUAGUACUGUAACUCAGGGAUUACUACUAAGGGUCAAACCUUAUACUAACAGGAAUGCUCCCAUCCGUGGGUUCGCUCGGUGCUAAAUCCUACUCCUAACUAAACUGACACUGAUUAUGGGACUGAACUAAGUUUAACUAAAAAAGGAACUGACUCGAAUUACUGAACUGAUCUAAGUUUAACUGACAUGAUAACUGACUGAACUGAAAAUGCUCAUACCUGUCUGAAACAAUUUUGAAAAUGCUGAGAAUAAGUAAAUAACUAAAUUUUAGGCAUUCAUAACCCCUAUGACUCAAUAACAAUAACAACAGAGACACAUGAAAGCAUUGAAACCAUGGAAGGAAAUCAUUGUUCACAAUCAUUCACUUAAGCAUUUCAUCAAAAUAUGAGGGCCAAGAGAUAAAGCAUGGGAAUAGUUAAAUCAUGUGAUAAUAACAUAUUUGCAAUAUGAAAAUCAUGGAUUAAGGAUUUAACAUGCAAAUAUCAUCCUUCAAAUGUGUCAGGGGCUAAUUUAACGGAAAUAAUUUAGAAACAUGAUAUAAAAAUCAAAAUUCAUUAAAGUUCAUGGAUAUAAUUCAUAAUAACAUGUAAAGAUCAUAAUUUUAAACUUGAAAAUGGAUUGUUGUACUCCAUUGAUAAAAAGGACCCAUGAAUGAACAUCACAUAUACCUUAUAGCUUUAAUCUUGAAAGAGAAUUAACUUUUCUUGAACUUUCUUGGAUUGGGAAACAUAACUUCUUGGUUUUCUUGAAGAAGGGAUAGAAUCUUGUUCUUGGGAUAUGAUCUAGAGAGGACACCCUAAUCUUGUUAUUGGGAAUAAAGAGGGUUAAUGGCUUUUAAAAACUGAUUGAUAAUGACUAAAUACGCUUAUAAGGUGAUUUAAGUCAUGGCAGGGUAUGGUUUGAGGUAAGCAAAAGAACAAAAUACCCCUCCGAAGCUAAAUAAUAAUUGCUAAAAUUUUUAGUUGAUGACUUAGUUGAUAGCUUAUUAACUUAAGUUGUCAACCCAUAGUUUGAUUUGGACCCUUGCUGUCUAAGGGUGACGACUUGGCUGAUAAGUCAUCACUUAGUUGAUGGCUUAUCACCUCAAGUCGUCACUUUGUAGUUGAGGUUGAUCAUAUUCUGGUUAAGGAUGAUGAAUUGGUUGGUAAUUUGUAACUUAGUUGAUGGCUUAUCACCUCAAGUCAUCACCUUGUUGACAGACAGAUAUGCUGAUGUAAAAUGAGCAUAACUUUUCACUUCGAUGUCAAAUUAAGGUGAAAUCAAGUGCAUUGAAAAUAAGACUCAAAGACCUUUCAUUUGAUAUAAAGUAGGACACUUGGAAAAAUAUAUUAUAGGAUAUACACUCAUCUAAAAUGGACCCUAGCUGGAGCAUUUGUUAAAACCCUAUCGAUAGAAAAGUCCUCAUCUCGUCUUUAAGUUAGGAGAGUAUUAUGACCUCGAUCAAUAUACAAGGAUAUUCCCAUAUCAUAUAUUUAAUAAUCACAUACAUAUAUACAUACAAUAACUAGGUUCAAGUUUGUAUGCAUAGGAACAACGAUUUGAAUUCUAGCUAAAAAAUGUGGGGUGUUACAUUAUCUCCAUCUUAGGAACAUUUGCCCUUAAAUGAGACUGGUUAGCUGAGAAUAAUAGAAGAACUAAGAUCAUAGACUGAACGUGUAUGACUAAAAACAUAUUUACAUGACUGAGUUUAAAACAUGACACAUAACUGAACUGAAUUUCGUGAACAUAAGCAAUGACAUGAGAAUGGUUAUAAGGCUGAGAUAGAAACGAGAGAGUCAACUUAUAAGUAACCAUUAUCUUAGGCUGGAUAUGGUUUAGUGAAGUAAAUUUAAGAGUUUUAGGACAUGAAAAUUCAGGCAUUACAAUACAUCUUCCCCUUGGGAUAGUUUGUCCCCCGAAUGAUACUGAUUUGGCCGAAAUACUAAAAAAAGACUGAGAUGAUAUACAAAAUACUUAUGGACUGAAUCAUGACUGAAUAUCUGGAAUAUGAAAUAAGGUCUGAGUAAUAGAGGGUCAAUGACACGAAUUAAUAAA
rnacentral:lncRNA from 1 species